UAUUUAAAAACAGCAACGGGCGAAGCAGACGCGUCUUCCUCUCGCUCGCGAGAUUUCUCUCCUGUAAUGUCACUUUCGAAAAUCCGUUAUCAAACGCUUUCUUCACAGAAUGGACUUUUUAAGACGGUGAGAAGGUAACGGAGCUCCACACUCCUCUGCAAAACAGCUCUCCGCUCUUACACAGCAGAGCAAUUUUACACUACCGCACAUCAUUGGAGAACCAGUGGGAGGUCUCUUAAUGCCAAAAAACAGACAGAAAGAUUUUUUUGUUUCUUAUCAUAUGAUUAGUAGUGAAUAUCCUGAAGAAUCAGAUGGAUAUUGGAUAUAUGAUGUCUUGAAUUCAGGUCAGUGCCAAAUCACACCAUGUUCACAGUCAUACUGCUCACAUUCAUGCAUUCACUCUCUCAUACAGAUGAAUCUCUCAUCCACCUGUGCCAAAGACAAGAAUCAGUCUAGUCACACCCAGUAACUUUUGCAUAAAUAACAAGCUCAUCAAAGACAUUAAGUGAAAUUACACAUGAGAAGGACCAUAUGCACGAAAAUACAGACACACAGACCAAAGCGAAAGGUGCACUCACACAUGCCGCUGAUAUGCAUAGAAAGGUGUCUGUCACUGUUAAUAUCAUUCUGUCUGCUAAGUGAACGUCUCAGUCACCUCUCAUUUCCUUCUCCUCAUCAUCAUCGUUCUCGCUCUCUUUUUUACUCUUUCACACACAAGUAGACACAUCAUCAUCAUCUUCAUCAUCUUGCACACAUCAGCAUCACCGGACAAGCACACUCAAGCAUAUCCAGAAUCGGAGAGAUGCUCUUUCUGAGUGAAAGAGGGAGAGAUGACAAGUAAGAGGGGAGAACACAGGAAGCACAUUAGUUAUCGGUCUCUCCCUUUCACAUCCCAUUACAGUUACACUCUUCCAUCUGCCCCCUCACUCUUCUUCACCUCUAACAGUCUGCCCUGCUGCACUUUACCUGACUAAACGACACUUCACACCACACACAUACAGAUGACCAGCUGAAAUAUUUACAGAGCUGUAGGAUUGGAAAAAGAAGCAAAGAUUUAUGGAAAGAAAGAAAUAUACAUACACACACACAGCAUUUAUAUUUAUAUAAAUAAAGUGCAAGUGUAUUUUAUUUUUAUUCAUAUAAUUUAUAUAUUUAAUAAUGUUAACUUUCAAUGUUGUGACAGUAAAGAAAUAAAGACAUUUACAUUGUUACAAAAUUUUUUACUUAAAUAAAUGUUUUUGUAAAUCUCUGUUUUAUUUACAAUUUUGAUUUUGAUAGAUUUCAUUGAAACCUAUCAAAAACUAAACUGUAAAUAAAACAAAGAAAAUUUUUAAAAAAUUACUUAAGUUUUACAAGAAAAUACUAUUUAUGUCUUUUUACUUCGAAAUGUCAUGUUUAAUUCUGUGUUACUUGCCUUUCUAAUCGUUUAUGACAUUUGUAGAAACAGUUUCACUCCAAAGUAGUUUCUACUUUUUUUCAGUAUAUUCCUUCACAGACACUGAUUAUCUGCUUAUUUCUCUUCCUCUCUGUCCAUAAUCUUAAAUACCCUUUUUGCUCCCCUUUAAGCAAAUGCAAAGCUAUAAAAUACAAUUAUCAUGAGGUUGUCACAUAUUUAUCUAAUUUACAAAGCUCUUUUUUAUUAUUGCUAAAAGUAAACAUUGCAGCAACGGGAGAAAGAGCUUUGUUGAAAAGCCACAGUUGUGUUUGUCCCUCUAGACUCUCCAUACACACAGACCUUGAGGGGGACUCGCACAGAAGCUCUUCAGGGGGUUGUUAGCUGUGAGCUUAGCCACCACAAGGGCUCCAGCUCACACACUAAUUAUUUUCAUAGUCAGCCGGGUGUGCAGAGCUGGCCUGCGAGUUGUGCAAAUGCUUAUUUAAGCUGUGUAACUGACAUCCAUAUGGUUUUUAUCACCAUGAAGAAACGUUUGAACUGGUUAUGUUUUCAUGCGGCCAAGGCUCUGACCUGUCUGUCAGAAACACUCAUAUGUGUUGCGUCUCUGGGAAAUUCUAUUCCAUAAUGUUCUGGAUCAGCAUGUUUUUCCUUCACUGAGUCACUGUUGUACUGUAAAAGUGUUAAUAAAAACUAAACCACAUUUUC